UAGUAAUCAAACUCAAAGUGGUAGUAGUUCUCAGUCCUCAAAUUUUGGAGGUGAUAAGAAAAAUGCUAUGAAAGAAAAGUGGAAAAAGAGGCAAGAAGAUAAAGAGGCAGUAGUUCUAUCUCAUGAGAUAGAUAGAUAUUUGUCAGAUGCUGCAGAAUAGGAUGUUGAAGAGUUUGAUAUUUUAAAUUGGUGGAGGGUGAAUGGUUCUAAAUAUCCAGUGUUGGCAGCCAUUGCAAGGGAUGUGCUUGCAAUUCCAGUCUCUACAGUUGCCUCAGAAUCUACUUUUAGCACGGGAGGGAGAACAAUUAACUCGUUUCGUAGUUCGUUGAGUCCUGCUAUGGUUGGGGCUUUGAUUUGUACACAGAAUUCGUUAAAGUCCACUUCAAUAUCUUUAGAAGUUGAGCCUACCAUUGAAGAGAUGGAGUUCUAUGAAACAAUUGAGUCAGAAAUGAAGAAAUCAAAUGCUAUGGGGCCUUUACAUGUUUCUUGUGAUUGAGAAAGGAAAUGAAGACAUGUUGCGUAUUGUUUUUUGUUUUUUGUUUUUUUUAAAAUUCUAGUUUGAUUUGUAUUAAUUAGUUGGAUAUUGAAGUUUAUUUCUAUUUGUACGCAAAUGUGGGAUUAUAUGCAUGUUGAACUUUGUUUUACUGGAAAUUUGCUUAACUUUCCAUGUUUGA